rnacentral:rRNA from 1 species
CUCCGGGGAUAACAGGCUGAUACCGCCCAAGAGUUCAUAUCGACGGCGGUGUUUGGCACCUCGAUGUCGGCUCAUCACAUCCUGGGGCUGAAGUAGGUCCCAAGGGUAUGGCUGUUCGCCAUUUAAAGUGGUACGCGAGCUGGGUUUAGAACGUCGUGAGACAGUUCGGUCCCUAUCUGCCGUGGGCGCUGGAGAACUGAGGGGGGCUGCUCCUAGUACGAGAGGACCGGAGUGGACGCAUCACUGGUGUUCGGGUUGUCAUGCCAAUGGCACUGCCCGGUAGCUAAAUGCGGAAGAGAUAAGUGCUGAAAGCAUCUAAGCACGAAACUUGCCCCGAGAUGAGUUCUCCCUGACCCUUUAAGGGUCCUGAAGGAACGUUGAAGACGACGACGUUGAUAGGCCGGGUGUGUAAGCGCAGCGAUGCGUUGAGCUAACCGGUACUAAUGAACCGUGAGGCUUAACCUUACAACGCCGAAGGUGUUU